GACGAACGCUGGCGGCGUGCUUAACACAUGCAAGUCGAACGGAAAGGCCCUGCUUGCAGGGUACUCGAGUGGCGAACGGGUGAGUAACACGUGGGUGAUCUGCCCUGCACUUCGGGAUAAGCCUGGGAAACUGGGUCUAAUACCGGAUAGGAGCUAUUUUUAGUGUGAUGGUUGGAAAGUUUUUUCGGUGUAGGAUGAGCUCGCGGCCUAUCAGCUUGUUGGUGGGGUGAUGGCCUACCGAGGCGGCGACGGGUAGCCGGCCUGAGAGGGUGGACGGCCACAUUGGGACUGAGGUGCGGCCCAAGCUCCGACGGGUGGCAGAAGUGGGGAAUAUUGCACAAUGGGCGCAAGGCUGAUGCAGCGGCGCCGCGUGGGGGAUGACGGCCUUCGGGUUGUAAACUACUUUCGCUAGGGACGAAGCUUUUUGUGACGGUACCUAGAGAAGAAGCACCGGCUAACUACGUG
rnacentral:rRNA from 1 species